rnacentral:rRNA from 1 species
CAAUAGCGUAUAUUAAAGUUGUUGCGGUUAAAAAGCUCGUAGUUGGAUUUCUGUUGAGGACGACCGGUCCGCACUAUGUGCGUGUAUCUGGUUCGGCCUUGGCAUCCUUCUGGGGAACGGUGCUGCGCUUGAUUGCGUGGUCCGGUAUUCAGAACUUUUACUUUGAGGAAAUUAGAGUGUUUACGGCAGGCAAUCGCCUUGAAUAUAUUAGCAUGGAAUGAUCACAUAGGACUUGCGUUCUAUUUUGUUGGUUUCUAGAAUGCAAGUAAUGAUUAAUAGGGAUAAUUGGGGGCAUUCGUAUUAACACGUCAGAGGUGAAAUUCUUGGAUUGUGUUACGACGAACUACUGCGAAAGCAUUUGCCAAGGAUGUUUUCAUUG